AUGAACGCUGGCGGCGUGCCUAAUACCUGCCAGUCGAGCGAACGGACGAGAAGCUUGCUUCUCUGAUGUUAGCGGCGGACGGGUGAGUAACACGUGGAUAACCUACCUAUAAGACUGGGAUAACUUCGGGAAACCGUAGCUAAUACCGGAUAAUAUUUUGAACCGCAUGGUUCAAAAGUGAAAGACGGUCUUGCUGUCACUUAUAGAUGGAUCCGCGCUGCAUUAGCUAGUUGGUAAGGUAACGGCUUACCAAGGCAACGAUGCAUAGCCGACCUGAGAGGGUGAUCGGGCACACUAGAACUGAGCCGCGGUACAGACUCCUACGGGAGGCAGCAGUAGGGAAUCUUCCGCAAUGGGCGGAAGCGUGGCGGAGCAAAGCCGCGUGAGUGAUGAAGGUCCUGGGAUCGGAAAACUCUGUUAUUAGGGAAGAACAUAUGUGUAAGUAACUGUGCACAUCUUGACGGUACCUAAUCAGAAAGCCACGGCUAACUACGUG
rnacentral:rRNA from 1 species